UUACUUAUUGCAUAAUUAUUUUUAAAUUAUAUGAAUAAAUAAUUUAUAUUUUAUUUCACAAUUAGUAUAAUUAUUCUUGUAAUUAUUUAUUGGAGUAUAAUAUUCCUCGUGUAAUGGAGCACUUAUUAGCUGCAUUCAUCAAUGUAAAACGUAUACGUUCACUAUGAGCCCUAUAAUGCUAUUAAAAAUUAUUCUAGGCUGAAAUGCUCGCAAGUAGGAGGCACCGCUUGGCAUUUAUAUCCAUCAUGAACGCCCCUUUAUCAUUUUCUAUAGCAUAUCUUUAGUACAGCAGGUUCACCAACCUUAGAAUUCAAAAGUUCCUUAUACCUUCUGCAUUUUGUCCCACCCUCGAAAAUAGCUAGAGGAGCAUGGCUAAUAGGAAAAUGAUAAUAUAUUUUUUUCGAUUUAUCUCUUCAGAUAAGAAAAAUGAAUUUGUCCAUUUUUGUUUGUAUUCAAUCAGUAGGUAUCAGGAGUUUGCAAUAAUACGAACUAUUAUAAUUAUUUAGUAUAUUCAUUUACAAGUGUAUAAGUUGAAAUUAUGUGUGAAACUUUGAAUUAUAAAAAGUUUUCAGUAAUUUCCAAUUUGCAAUUUGAAUGCAUUAAAUACUUAAUUCACUGUGUUUCGAAAUAAUUUCAACUUUAAACAAUUAAAAGAUAGUGAGAGGAUUUAAAAUAUUUA